rnacentral:rRNA from 1 species
CCUACGGGAGACAGCAGUGAGGAAUAUUGGUCAAUGGGCGGAAGCCUGAACCAGCCAAGUCGCGUGAGGGAUUAAGGCCCUGCGGGUCGUAAACCUCUUUUGCCGGGGAGCAAUGGUCCGGACGUGUCCGGGCCGGGAGAGUACCCGGAGAAAAAGCAUCGGCUAACUCCGUGUCAGCAGCCGCGGUAAUACGGAGGAUGCGAGCGUUAUCCGGAUUUAUUGGGUUUAAAGGGUGCGUAGGCGGGCUUUUAAGCCGGCGGUCAAAUGUCGGGGCUCAACCCCGGCCUGCCGUUGGAACUGGGGGCCUUGAGUGGGCGAGAAGAAUGCGGAAUGCGUGGUGUAGCGGUGAAAUGCAUAGAUAUCACGCAGAACCCCGAUUGCGAAGGCAGCCUUCCGGCGCCCUACUGACGCUGAGGCACGAAAGUGCGGGUAUCGAACAGGAUUAGAUACCCCAGUAGUC